GCUGGAAAAGUGCGUCCAAGCCGCAAGUCUGGUGGCGAGUGAAAUGCUUGCGACCAUAAGGACAAGCGGUGAUGGGGAGCGAAAUUAAAGUAGCGAAGUUCCUGAUGUCACACUGCCAAGAAAAGCUUCUAGUGAGAAAUAAACUACCCGUACCGCAAACCGACACAGGUAGUCGAGGAGAGUAUCCUCAGGUGAGCGAGCGAACUCUCGUUAAGGAACUCGGCAAAAUGACCCCGUAACUUCGGAAGAAGGGGUGCUGACCGCAAGGUCAGCCGCAGUGAAUAGGCCCAAACAACUGUUUAUCAAAAACACAGGUCUCUGCUAAAUCGAAAGAUGAUGUAUAGGGGCUGACGCCUGCCCGGUGCUGGAAGGUUAAGAGGAUGAGUUAGCGCAAGCGAAGCCCAGAAUUGAAGCCCCAGUAAACGGCGGCCGUAACUAUAACGGUCCUAAGGUAGCGAAAUUCCUUGUCGGGUAAGUUCCGACCCGCACGAAAGGCGUAAUGAUUUGGGCACUGUCUCAACGAGAGACUCGGUGAAAUUAUAGUACCCGUGAAGAUGCGGGUUACCCGCGACAGGACGGAAAGACCCCAUGGAGCUUUACUGUAGCUUGAUAUUGAGUGUUGGUACCGCUUGUACAGGAUAGGUAGGAGCCGUAGAGAUCGGAACGCUAGUUUCGAUGGAGGCGUUGGUGGGAUACUACCCUAGCUGUAUGAACACUCUAACCCGCGCCACUGAUCGUG
rnacentral:rRNA from 1 species